rnacentral:tRNA from 2 species
CUCUCUUCUAGCUUAUUUGAAAGCAUUAGUUUGAAGAGCUGGGGAAAUAAUUAUUUAUGGGAGAGG